GAAAUCUAGGAAAGCCUUCUGUACCAGAACACAAAGGGGAUCAUGGCCAAACACAACCAUUCAGGCCUGCAUCACACCAGACAGAUAUUCCAAGUUUCUUCCAGGAGAGAAGGGGUUGAAAGCCAGAGCCAAAGUGAAAUGAACACAGGUAAAUGUCACCACAUCCCCACUCACCACACAGAAAUUAAAUAUGGAUUUAGCAGAUUGCAAAACGAAGUAGUCAAGGCAAUUAAAUACCAUUUAAAUGAAAAGUAAAUCAUAUCUCUCCUAUUUUAAAAUGACUUAACAAAUGUGAAUACACUAAAUUAAAUACUUAACUCUUUCUAUUGAAUAAAUACACAGCAGAAGAGGGAAGGAGCA
rnacentral:lncRNA from 1 species